rnacentral:rRNA from 1 species
AUUGAACGCUGGCGGCAUGCCUUACACAUGCAAGUCGAACGGCAGCGCGGGAGCAAUCCUGGCGGCGAGUGGCGAACGGGUGAGUAAUACAUCGGAACGUGCCCAAUCGUGGGGGAUAACGCAGCGAAAGCUGUGCUAAUACCGCAUACGAUCUACGGAUGAAAGCAGGGGAUCGCAAGACCUUGCGCGAAUGGAGCGGCCGAUGGCAGAUUAGGUAGUUGGUGAGGUAAAGGCUCACCAAGCCUUCGAUCUGUAGCUGGUCUGAGAGGACGACCAGCCACACUGGGACUGAGACACGGCCCAGACUCCUACGGGAGGCAGCAGUGGGGAAUUUUGGACAAUGGGCGAAAGCCUGAUCCAGCCAUGCCGCGUGCAGGAUGAAGGCCUU